ACUUUUGCGUCGGUGCCCUUCCUCUCUUUUGCCAAACACCACGAUCAUCUCACCGGUGAUGACCUGUCCCCACCUUCGGGCCGCCCGGAAAAGCAGUGCCAGAGCUUUCGUGGCCCCCCUCUCCAUCUGCACCAUUGAAGCGUCCUUGCAAACUCCCAGCCAAUAGCCGGCAAUUGCCGACGAUAACUGCAGCAACUCCGACAAUCUUAGCAAGUCCGGCACUUCCUGAAGAGCCUAGUACUUUCUUUACUCCUUGUAGGUUUUCCGGUUGAAUUCCCCAGUAACACCAUUCUUGCUGGAGUGAAUUGUCCCUCCACUAUCGUUGAAGAAUUCGUUCUGGAAAGCCUCGACCAUCUAGGUCGUUUUUCACUGCAUCCGUGCCUUCUGUUGCUGCUGGCUGCGCCUCUCUCGCCGGUGGUUCCUCAAGUCUCGGCCAUACACUUCACUGUCUCCUAUUGUCGCUCAACUCCAUCCUGGCAGGGAGUUUCGUGAUCCUAAUCCAAGCUUGGGGCCUCCUUCACGAAGAAGAUGAUCCGAUGGAGGCGGUAGCUGGCAUGACAGAAUUCCUUAACCAUGUCAUUUGAAGUGACGAAAUCAGUGGUGGGGCACGGCAAAAUCCGUCAGGAAGAGGAGGUGUCCGACAUGGAUGGCGGAUUGAGGAAGGAUGAAUAGUUUUUAGAAACUUCGUGAUUUAUUUAUAAAUUUUAAUCCUGCAAAUCAAAUAUUCAUCUAGAUAAUAUUUAUUUGAAUCCAGGCUAUAUUUGGAUGUCAACAAACAUUGGAUGGGAUAUUUAGAAUCCUAUGCUCUCCUUAUCCUAUCCGACGUUUUCCUAUCCAGCAAAAAUGUCCGGACGACCAAAC
rnacentral:lncRNA from 1 species